AAUAACCAAAUAUAACACUGGGACUAAGGGUCAAAUUGGUAAUUUUUCUUACAUCUCCCCCCCCCCCUCCCCCCCGGGGCCCAGGUAUCAUAUACACCGCCAAAAUAAAGAGCCUUGAGUACUAGAAGAAAAGCACCUAGACCUAACAAAAUUAAGUGAAUACCCAAAAUUGUAGUCAUUUUAUUUCUAUCUUUCCA
rnacentral:antisense_RNA from 1 species